rnacentral:rRNA from 1 species
UACAGGGGGUGCAAACGUUGCUCGGAAUUACUGGGCGUAAAGGGCUCGUAGGCGGCCAACUAAGUCGGACGUGAAAUCCCUCAGCUUAACUGGGGAACUGCGUCCGAUACUGGAUGGCUUGGAUUUGGGAGAGGGAUGCGGAAUUCCAGGUGUAGCGGUGAAAUGCGUAGAUAUCUGGAGGAACACCGGUGGCGAAGGCGGCAUCCUGGACCAAUAUUGACGCUGAGGAGCGAAAGCCAGGGGAGCAAACGGG